CUGGAGGGUCAAGGAGUCAGCCGGUACGCAUGCCUGGCUGACCACCUACCGCCAGACUGUCCUUCUCCUCUCUGACUUGGCAUUUUGCAGGUGACAGUCAGGUUGUUGUAUCCAUCCGUGGAUGCUAUCUAAGACUAGGUAGAUGGUGACGAUGAUGUGGCUGAUGAGAAUCAAGAGUUUUGCCAGUACAGUGUUGUGUCCUGUUGCUGGACUCAGACGGCGCUAUAGCUCCUCGUUGAGGGGAGACCACCGGUCAGAAAAGAAACAGACAUUUCUGGUGCGCAACGUCUGCUUUCUUACAAGAUGCGACAUCCCGUGAAAAAGUUCAAUCUGACGUUUACACCAGCACAUGAGUCCGACCAACACCCCCAGUUAACCGAAUACAACGUCGAUUUUAGAUCCACUUAUUGGGAGAGAGAUGGAAGACAGAGAGACAGACAGAGAGAGAGAGAGAGAAGGAAUCAAAGGACAACGUGAAUUCCUCGGAACUAUGAGCAAGUUUUACGAGCAAGGAAAAUGCACAACACCUGCAUUAUUGCCCCUUGAGAAAGCAACACAGGCUCCUGCAAAGGAGAGAAGAGAAGGGAAAUAAUAAGAUGACGGCCAAUGAAGAGAAAGUGAAGAAUGUGAAAAAAGAAAUUGUCGCACACCUAUAAAAACGUCAGUCCUUUUCAGAACUUGCAAAAGAAGUGGCGAAAAUGGCAAGAAUAAAUUUCGGAGCGCACCAUUACACAAAACAGUAU